rnacentral:rRNA from 1 species
UAAUACGAAGGGGGCGAGCGUUAUUCGGAAUCACUGGGCGUAAAGCGUGCGUAGGUGGCUAUGUAAGUUAGGAGUGAAAGCCCAGGGCUCAACCCUGGAAUUGCUCUUAAAACUGCGUAGCUAGAAUGUCGGAGAGGAUAGCGGAAUUGUCAGUGUAGCAGUGAAAUGCGUAGAUAUUGACAGGAACACCAGUGGCGUAAGCGGCUAUCUGGACGACUAUUGACACUGAGGCACGAAAGCGUGGGGAUCAAACAGG